CCAAUCUUCCCCUUCUCUCUUGUUAACUUCUCUUCGGCCUCACUUACUUUGUUUAGUCUACACUCACAUCGUCACUACCCUCAGUCUCUUCUUCCUUUCCUCUUUUCUUAACUUGUCUCUCUUGCUAGCUUCGUUCCGCUCCGCUCCACUCAGACUGAAGGAAGUGUACCAAAUACUCUUGUUAUGGCAAAUCGUAAGGUUAUAAAACCUUGGGUUACAGAAGCUGAGCAUAUAAUUCAUUCCUUAAAUUUCCCCAUUCUCUAUGCAUUUACUUCACUGUUUAAUUUGUUGAUUGUCUGGGACCAUUCUGUUAAAUUAGUAGGUUGGGUAAAGUUAAAUUAGGAUGAAUGAAAAGAGAGUUUCUGCCGAAUCUUGGUCAUGACUCAUGAUACCUUUUGAUUUUUGUUGAAGUGUGUAGAGUUUUAAUGGAAUGAAAUUUACUUUGAAAUUUGAGGUAUGUAAAGUUUUAAUGGAUAUUAAUGCUUCAUUUAACAAUUUUUA